rnacentral:ncRNA from 1 species
AGGCUCUACAUCAAUUUUUCUUUGACUAUUGAUUUUUUUCGUUUCUGGUUCAAAAAGCUUUUGAUUAAUUUGGGCAUUAAAGUAUUUCAAAGUAAAAUUACAUGUUAAUACGUAGUAUUAAUGGCGAGACUCCUGAGGGAGCAGUGCCAGUCGAAGACCGAGGCUGAGACGGCACCCUAGGAAAGCGAAGCCAUUCAAUACGAAGUAUUGUAUAAAUAGAGAACAGCAG